GUUCCUUCUACUCCCGGUGGUCUCCAACUACUUCCCGCUCCGGUCAGCCGGCUGAUCCGUCUCAGUUUCGAGAUCUAUUCCCGUCCGUGACCGCCACUUCUGCGUAAUUUGACUAAGGUCUCGCUCUCUUCGAACUAGUUUCAGUCAUUGUAAUCUGAUCUUGAGUUCAGUACGAAGAUCAACACAUAGUAAUAAAUAAGCUAAAUUUGAUGAAUGUAUGUAUCUCUUAUGUUUAUUGCGAGGUGAGAUUUGGAGAGAAACGAUGGGAAUCAUAGAAAGUGGAACUGUAUUCAGGUAACUUGCCGAGCAAGGAGACGUUUGUAGUGAGUGCACUACCCACCCUCUAUCUCCCGAGCCCUAGAGACUCUUGGCGGUAUCCAAGGGAUUAUUAUCGAAUUUGUAGAUAAGUGGUUGACGGUUUAUCCACUUUUGUUAGGAAAUAGAGUCAACGUCAAACAAGCUUGAGUUGCAUUAUUUAAAAGUAUUGAUCCGUGGUGAAGUGUAGAAGAAUGGAAGUGUGUCCAAAUUCUCCAGAAAUCACAUUUUGUAUCGAAGAACUUGUAGAAGUUUUAAGUCAAAAUUUUGUGUAGUAAUGUGUCUAGAUUUUUGCGCCAAUUUCCGAUGAUCUCAGCCUCUACAUCCUCUUUUAGCGAAUUUAAGAUAGUUUAUGUGGAAGCAUAUCAUGAAUACAUUGGAAAUGUCUAACUGAAUCCGUGGAUUAUAAGAUGAUAAUUAAGUUCCUCUUUGUGCUUUUAAAGUAUUUCCUUUCAAAUGCCAAACAUUUCUACAGCUAUUUGAACUUGAAGACGAGUAUAUUCAGCGAGAGAUAAGAAAGCCUCCCAAGCAAAACUACUUGUAAUUUGAUUUGAUGUGCUUUGUUGCCAGUAUAAAACAGGAUGGUUCUCAGAACCGCUGCUUGAUAAUCUGAGACUCCGAGAGUAGCUGUGAGGUUUGUAUCUGUGUUUCCUGAGCCAGGUUUCGAAGAUUUUUUUAUAUGUAUUCAAGAUGGGUUUGAGAGGUCAGAGAAGACACGAAUUCAGAAAGAUUCACUGAUAUCUUGCCAACCAAGAGAAAACUAAAGGUAAGUCAACAACAUAACUUCAUUUUUUUUUUAUGUUCUUCACGUUUUUGUCAUUCUAGAUAGUCAUUGAUUACUUAAAGAAACUCUUUAAACAAAGAAGAGGCAGUAGUAGCAUUGUGACCAGAGCUUUGCAAGAUGAGAUUCUUAUGCACUAUCUCUUCCUGGCCUUGACGUUGAUGUGAAGAAUCAAUGUCAGACCAGUCGCAUACACGCUGAAAGAAGACUCGUUCACUAUUGUUGUUUUGGUCAGAAAUGGAGCCUGACAAAGUAGCUUCCUUGAGCUCUAUACCUUCAAAACGGUGUGGGGAAAACACGAGCAGCCUUAUAAGUCUGAGAGAAAUGUGAACUCUUUAUGGCAUCAAAACCUGGUGAAG
rnacentral:lncRNA from 1 species